GACGAACGCUGGCGGCGUGCUUAACACAUGCAAGUCGAACGGGCCCGCCCCUGUUUUUGGGGGUGGGUUGAGUGGCGAACGGGUGAGUAUCACGUGAGUAACCUGCCCCCUGCUCCUGGAUAACUGCUUGAAAGGGCGGCUAAUACGGGGUGUGCCGGCUGGUCCGCAUGGGCCUGGUCGGGAUAGUUUCAUCUUCGGGUGUUUCGGUGGGGGAUGGGCUCGCGGCCUAUCAGCUUGUUGGUGGGGUGAUGACCCACCAAGGCGGUGACGGGUAGCCGGCCUGGGAGGGUGGGCGGCCACACUGGGACGGAGACACGGCCCAGACUCCUGCGGGAGGCAGCAGUGGGGGGUAUUGCACAAUGGGCGGAAGCCUGAUGCAGCGACGUCGCGUGAGGGAUGGAGGCCUUCGGGUUGUGAACCUCUUUCUCCGGUGGGGAAGGCCCUGUCCGUUGCGGCGGGGUUGACGGUAGCCGGGUAUGAAGCGCCGGCUAACUACGUG
rnacentral:rRNA from 1 species